rnacentral:rRNA from 1 species
GGGAAGCACUGGAUGGUUAGGGGGCCGUACAAGCUUACCGACCCCAGCCAAACUCCGAAUGCCGGUACUCCCAGAGCACGGCAGUGAGACCACGGGGGUGAGCUUCGUGGUCGAAAGGGAAACAGCCCAGAUCAUCAGCUAAGGCCCCUAAUUCAGGACUAAGUGGAAAACGAUGUGGGAUUGCACAGACAGCCAGGAGGUUGGCUUAGAAGCAGCCACCCUUGAAAGAGUGCGUAAUAGCUCACUGGUCGAGUGAUCCUGCGCGGACAAUGUAACGGGGCUCAAGUCCUGAGCCGAAGCUAUGGGCUUCCACGCAAGUGGGAGCGGUAGAGGAGCGUCGAUGGUGCGGUGAAGCUUCGGCGUGAGCCGGGGUGGAGCGCCAUCGAGUGAGAAUGCAGGCAUGAGUAGCGAGAGAGGGGUGAGAAACCCCUCCGCCGUAAGCCCAAGGGUUCCUGGGGAAGGCUAAUCCACCCAGGGUGAGUCGGGAGCUAAGGCGAGGCCGCAAGGCGUAGUCGAUGCGUCGACGCGGCCG